GGAAGUAAAAGUCAUAACAAGGUCUCCGUUGGUGAACCAGCGGAGGGAUCAUUACAGAGUUGCAAAACUCCCAAACCAUUGUGAACGUUACCUAUCCCGUUGCUUCGGCGGGCGGCCCGGGCCCCGCGCCCGGCGCCCCCCGGCCCCCCGUGGGCGCCCGCCGGAGGUAAACCAAACCCUUGAAUUGCAUGGCCUCUCUGAGUCUUCUGUACUGAAUAAGUCAAAACUUUCAACAACGGAUCUCUUGGUUCUG
rnacentral:misc_RNA from 1 species